CGGUACAGGGUGCUUCCCAGACCCUCCCUCCUCCAAGUAGAGCUGAAAUGGGAAGGAACCCCUGGGACAGCCCCUGCCCUGCUAGGUCUUUGCCUCAGAUUGCUGCUGUGGCCAGGCCCAGGAUUUCCAGCCCCAUGGCUCUGAGACAUGCUGGGGGCCCAGGGGCUCUGGACACACUCCAUCCGGGGAUCCCUUCCUGCCAUCUGGGCAGCAACCAUGGGGACAAAGGGAGGAAGCACAGUCCUGUUUCCUUGCCGCUUGUCCAAGGCACUUCCCCAUUCUGACAGUGGCCCCCACCCAGCCCAGGAUUCUGGGUUGUGGUCUCGAGCUCACUUCCCGUUAUCUUUGGGGCCAGGGCUGACAUCAGGAGGACAUCUGACUGGUGGAUGGAGCCAGCCUGGGAACAUUGCAGCUGGGGCAGUGCCUAGGGCUCUCCCUUCCCAGGGAGACAUGGAGAAUGGGGUCGAGGGAGGGCCCUUCCCUAGUCGCUGUGGCAACUCCAGUGAGCUGUUCUGGGCAAAGUGUGGCCCAAGUCAGCAGCCCCAGCCCUGCAGUGCCGGGGACCCUGACAGGACACGGGAAGAGGCCAUGCUCUCCCUCGGGACCUGCUGUUUCAUGUGUCCCAAGCCCUCCUGCUUUCCAGAUGGCCCCUCAGGAAACCACCUUUCCGGGGCCUCUGCUCCCUUGGGCGCUCGCUGGGUCUGCGUCAACGGAGUGUGGGUAGAGUCGGGAAGACCCAGCCCUGCCAGGCUGAAGGAGGGCUCCUCACAGACACACAGGCCAGGAGGCAAGCGUGGGCAUCUUGCGGGCGGUAGCGCCGACACUGUGCGCUCUCCUGCAGACAGCCUCUCCACGUCAAGCUUCCAGUCUGUCAAGUCCAUCUCUAAUUCAGGUGAGCAGGCUGGCGUCCAUGUGCUCACAGGGGUGAGUGCCCCACGGGGACUCCAGCCUGGAUGGCCUUUAGGGGUGCUGACCAGGCACCCUCUGCUGGGCCAAGCUCCAGGAUUUGGGGGUGAAGGUGCAGCUGAAAAGAGCCCUGCAAGCUGAAGCCACCGGGAGAGGAUUAAGGGGGGGUGGGCAGGACCAGGGACCAGUCACAGGGCAGUAAGGCCUCACAGCAGGCACCCCAGGGCGGGGCAGCAAGCAGGCAGGAGGGGCCUCCCCGGGUGGCCUUCUAGGGAGGAUGUACCCUGGCUACCCAGCAGAAGCCCUGCUUGGCCGUGUCCCUGCCACAAGCAGGCAGGACACAGGAGGGAUGGCACUGCCCACGGAGCCCUGGGCUCAUGGCACCUUCUGCAGAGUGAGCCGGGAGCAGAGAGCUUCUUUUCCCCACUCUGUGAGGCCGGGCAUUUUCCUCAGCCCAGCCCUAACCCCCACCAUUCCUGUGAUGGGCCCAGGCGCUAGAUGGGCCUUGUCCUUGCCGAGGAAACCCAUGCAGGCUGGGUCCCAAGCCUCUCAUGCAGUUUCAUUUUACCCAAAAUGGGGCCAGCUUCCACAUCUUGAUUGUUCUAGAGUGUUCACAGACACCACCCAUGGGCUUCACCCUCAGAACCUCAUUGAUUCCCCCCAGAACCCUCCAAGGCAGGCUUCCCUUUACAGAGGAGGAAACUGAGGCAGGGGCAGGGGCUUCUUAGGUACACACAGCUGAUCCUGGAAAACUUGGGCAGUGACUGUUGGUGCCUGCAGUGACCGGCCUUGUAGGGUCUGACUUGCAGCCAACUCUCAAGGCAAGGCCAGGCCCCAGCCCGGCUCCUUCAACAAGCAAGAUUCGAAAGCUGACGUCCCCCAGAAGGCGGACCUGGAAGAGGAGCCCCUACUUCACAACAGGCAAGGCCUGGGACAAGGAGGCAGUAACUGGGUUCCUGGGGUACAAGGGCAGGCCAGGUAAGGCGGUUCCUGCAGGCAGCCAGGUAAGGCGCCCCCAAGGCCAUGACUACAUUUACUAGGCUCACGCCCUGCAGUCAGCCAACUGCUCUGCCCCUAGCUCCAGGGGCCUGUCUCCAGGCCUCAUGAUAGCAGAUAACGGCCACGCUCUACCCAUCGGUGGGUGCUGUCUUCCUCCCCUCCCCUGGGGGUCCUGCAGAGUACCUGUGCUGACCUGAGCCCACAAGGGGGGCCAGUAGCAGCCCCUAAACCACUUCCUCAGAGAAAAGUAAAGUAAUAUUCUUACCAAGAAAAGUGAGUUGCAUGCCUGCUGCCCCUGGCCACAGCCUUCCUUUGGAGGGCAGUAGGCCAGCAGGUCAGAGCAGGACCAGGUUCUGGUGAUCCCUGAGUUUCUGGGACUGCCCUGGGAUGCUACAGAGUGCACACUUUCAGCAGCACAACCAGCAGGACAGGCUUCUGCGUCUGCACAUCCCGAGACCAGGCAUGGAGUAAGAUGCCCCACUGGGUGUGGGGUCACGACUGAGAGCAGCCUGGCAGCUAGCUGGUCACCCACUGAAGCCCAUCUGACCCUUAGGGCACCUUCAGAGGGGAGAGAGGGACAGGCCCCAGUCCCAGAGACCCCCACCUGGUGCCCCGAGCACCCUGCUCAGUGGGAGAGGGGAACCAGGCCCUCUUCCCCACAUUGGCCUGGGCGCUGCCUGGGAAGGUAUGCUGGGUGGGUGGUUAGAUGCACCUGGGCAGGUCACCUCUGGCUGCUGCAAUGACUGUUUCAGAAAGGAGAAAGCAGAAGCCUCUAAUGCAGGAGCUGCCUGUAUGGGGAGCAGCCAGCACCAGGGCAGGCAGAUGGGGGCGGGGGCACACCCCCCAAUGAUCCUGCCCCUUCCCCUGCGAAAGCCCACCACACUUAAGCAGUGCGAAGUGCUCAUCCGCGAGCUGUGGAAUACCAACCUCCUGCAGACCCAAGAGCUGCAGCACCUCAAGUCCCUCCUGGAAGGGAGCCAGAGGCCCCAGGCGGCCCCAGAGGAAGCUAGCUUUCCCAGGUGAGUGCCUGGUACACCCCUGCCCCAUCCCUGGGGGCCUAUCCACAGCUCACUGCUGACUCUUCCUUCACCCAGGGACCAAGAAGCCAUGCAUUUCCCCAAGGUCUCCACCAAGGGCCUCUCCAAGAAAUGCCUGCUUCUGAGCCCACCUGUGGCAGAGCGUGCCAUCCUGCCUGCACUAAAGCAGACCCCGAAGAACAACUUUGCAGAGAGGCAGAAGAGGCUGCAGGCAAUGCAGAAACGGCGCCUGCAUCGCUCAGUGCUUUGAGCCACCCGCAUCUGGUCAGUGCCAGGCCCACCAACCUGCAGCUGGAGACGGGCUCUCUAUAGCAUUUCCUGAUACUUCCACUACUUUUAGGCCUGGCUAAAUUCCAAGAUAGAUGACACUCAAGAUAGAUAAAGUACUUGAUCUCCAAACUGACAAACUGUUUAUUUUCUAGCUGUUAUUUUGCUAUUUGGCAUUUACAUAAAAGCACAUGAUAAAGUUGGUAUCGCCUUACCUGUUGAAACUGAAAAUAAAGCUUGUUUAUUUCCAA
rnacentral:sRNA from 1 species